GCUGUGGCUUGUGCAAUGUCCUGGUGUUGGGGAGGAGUGGUGUCUUCAGGCACAGCUUCCUGCCUCCUGCACUCUUGUGCCUUUUCUGGCGUGGUGUGCUUGCCCUGAUCUGUGAUUCCAGUGCUGCCCUUGGUGAUUCACGGAGAAGGUUAUUUUACCCUGGGGACAGAGUGCCACACAAAGACUUUCCUGCUGCUGAAUGUGUGAACAAACACCAUCUCAGAGAAUCAAUAGAAGAAAUCUAAGAAGAAAUGCCUUGAUUGGCAAAGACUUCUGGUGGCCUGAUUUUUUUUUUUUACUCCAGAUAUAGUCUAGGUAACAACAACAAUGAAAAAGGUGUCAUGGGGAGAAGAGCAGUGGGCGGUAAGAGAAUGUUUCUGCACUUUGCAAUGCAUUUAAGGAUAACUGUUAAAAUGCUUGAGAAGAGGAGACAGUGAGGUACAGUGUGAAUAUAUGAAGCCUCAGGAUACAAUAGACCUGAUUAGAACCUUGUCUCUGUCAUUUAUGAGAUCUGUUGUCGUGGGUAAGAUGAUUAAUCAUUCUAGGUUUCUUGGGUUUCUUCUUCU
rnacentral:lncRNA from 1 species